CUGGCUGUGGCCUCCCAUAUAUCUUGCCAGUCGGAUCCCUCUAAUGUCUCACCCAGGUCCGUCUCCCACUGAUCUGUGUAACGUAAUUCCCCCCAUUCUUUGGCCUCUCCGCUGAGAUGUGAGUACAAUAAUGAUAUGAGUCCUUUGGGGUGUGUUUCUUGGUAGCAUAUAUUCUCGAACCAGGUGAGGGGGAGGGUGGCUAUCUCUUUGACUUCUUUUGAGCUAGCGAAGUCACGUAAUUGGAGGUAGCGGAAGAAAU